UAUUGAUUGCGCAUUAGUGUAUUUCAAAAGCGUUAUUUGAUCAACAAUUAUGCGGAAUAUACUGGGCAGAAAGGCAGCUUCUUGUGCACUGGCUUCGGAUUGCACUGGCCCCGGGCACGCAAACAACGGUGUAUAAUCACUCGGCAAGGCGAACAUGGGCCUUAGGUCCGAUUCAGUGAAGCGUGCUCACAAUGUCAUAAUGCAAGCUCCACCCUAUCAUGCAUCCUGCGGCCACCCACCGAAUGCGUUUCCAGACCACUGAAGAACCAGUCUUUCCGUAUUCCCCCAGAAAAGCCAAAUCAAUCAGUUUUCAAUACGUUUUUAUUAAAUUUGUAAUCUUCGAGGACAUAAUAAUCAAACUUAGAGUAAUCCUUACUACUACAUACAUGCAAUAUAUUAAAGUCAAAAAGAAAUAUAAGGCAUAACUCAAUGUUGCGAAAACGAAGGGCACCAUAUAUACAUAUAUGUAUGUACAUAUGUACAUUGUACAUCUGUAUAUUCAUAUGUACAUAUGGCUGUGUGUAUGUGUGUACUGUAUGCUUUUUUAAUUGCACUGCGACGCGUCGUUAGCAGCAAACCUGAGGUCAGUAUGUAGGCGUUAUGGGCUCCAACUGCUAUCAUAAAACUUAAUAAUGCAAAAUGUAAUUAAGUCACCUGACCUCCUCUGGCCUCUCAUAGGCAGACUCCCGCUCAGUCCUGGCAGUCCUGACAGUCGCCGCACCUUUAACAAGGAAAUUGAUGACGUUGCCGUCGCGUCGUUACUUUAUGACAGGAGGCCUUUAUGCCUUACGAUUUGAUUAGCCAUCAGAUGGCUGGAAUAGUUGUGCGCAGACUUGGUUUGCAAACAAAAUGCUCCCAAUCAAUAUAAAUCAAUCAACUUCAUGGUACAUACCAUUUACCAUUAUUUUAAAACCACCAUAAAGGCCACAUUCUAUUUUCUAUGGCUUUCUGUUGCCUUGACCUGCAUUCCAUUCGAAACAUAUCAGCAUUUCGGCUUCUUUUACGUGAAAAUUGGAAUACCUUAAAGAGGAUCGUCCUGAUCGUCUGAACUGUAGUUCAAGCUGUCUAUUGUUUAAAGGAACCAUUAUUAUUAUUAGUUUACCUCCGAAUGCCGGCCUUAUUUGUUAAGCUAACAAUUAGCAUUAUGAGUCAUUACAAAUAUGUACAAAUAAAGCAGCUUGCAUGUAUGCACAUGUGCGCACCACUUGGACGGCAGACAACGAACGGAGCCAGUGUUCCAGUCAGUUAAACAGCCAUUCAAAGUAUACAAAUUUCACGAGUGGCAUAGACAAAAGCUCCCGGAAGAGAACAGCGGUAAAGGGAACAGUUAUCAUUGAUUCUUUGGUCAGUAACAAUGUGCUGUGCUUGUUUCCAUGGCAACGCCCCGUGUUUGAGUUUGAAUUUGGAGAGCAUAAAGCAAAUCAGCAUGCAUCAGCGGUUGAUGUACAUGUACAUACAGUGGUUAUCAGUUGCUGGAUAGCCGUUUCCAAGUGUCGUCAGAGAACAAUUUUGGCUCGGUGCAAUCGGAGAUCAAGUGUACAAUUAUUCAGCAAAUGCCAAUCACUUUUGCCAGUGCUUAAGCAGCUCCGACUGAAAACUGAAAACUGAAAACAGAUCUCUACUUAAUUAUGGUGGGAUUGUUUUAGACAGACAAGAUGCACGUAAUGUUUACUUUGACCGGCAAAGCCGCGACGAAAAUUGUAUUGUUUUGCUUCCUGAUCUCGAUCGUGUCUAUACUAUUUGCGCUGUGCGUCUCUCUGCCAUUAAAACAGAGCAGCUCGGCAUGUAUGGCCAUCGAAACCUGUGAUCCAUUUAAGCCCAUCUGUGCAACGUCCAUAAACGAACAUCAGUUUUUCUACAGCCAGUGCGAAAUGGUACGGGAUAUCUGUCUAACCGGUAAGGAUUGGAAAUCCGACUA
rnacentral:misc_RNA from 1 species